AAGGAUUUAAGUUAACUAAACUUUCAGCCUUCAAAGCUGGGAAUAAGGACCCGCCCUCUUUAAGCCUUA
rnacentral:tRNA from 1 species